rnacentral:misc_RNA from 1 species
CCGAGCGAGGGCCUUCGGGCUCGACCUCCAACCCUUUGUGAACACAUCUCGUUGCUUCGGGGGCGACCCUGCCGUUCCGACGGCGAGCGCCCCCGGAGGCCUUCAAACACUGUAUCUUUGCGUCGGAGUUUAAGUAAAUUUAAACA